rnacentral:rRNA from 1 species
CCUACGGGAGGCAGCAGUGGGGAAUCUUGCGCAAUGGGCGAAAGCCUGACGCAGCCAUGCCGCGUGUAUGAUGAAGGUCUUAGGAUUGUAAAAUACUUUCACCGGUGAAGAUAAUGACUGUAGCCGGAGAAGAAGCCCCGGCUAACUUCGUGCCAGCAGCCGCGGUAAUACGAAGGGGGCUAGCGUUGCUCGGAAUUACUGGGCGUAAAGGGAGCGUAGGCGGACAUUUAAGUCAGAGGUGAAAUCCCGGAGCUUAACUUCGGAACUGCCUUUGAUACUGGGUGUCUUGAGUGUGAGAGAGGUAUGUGGAACUCCGAGUGUAGAGGUGAAAUUCGUAGAUAUUCGGAAGAACACCAGUGGCGAAGGCGACAUACUGGCUCAUUACUGACGCCGAGGCUCGAAAGCGUGGGGAGCAAACAGGAUUAGAUACCCUGGUAGUCCACGCCGUAAACGAUGAUUGCUAGUUGUCGGGAAGCUUGCUUCUCGGUGACGCAGCUACGACAUAAGACACUCCGCCGUGGGAGGUACGGUCGCGAAGAAUUAAAACGUUAAAAGGUAAGUUAGACGGCGUGAGACGUGCCGAACGGACGACGACGAGGGAGGUAGG